CAAGAACUUUGUUGUUACAUCUGGUGAUGUGAUGAAUGACACAUCCAGUGUAGAUUAUGUGAACAGUAAAAUAGAUGAGGAAAAAAUAAAACUAAUAGAAAAUAUAUAUUCCGAUAACUAUAUAUAUGAAAAUGUUAAAAUACCUAACGAUUUAAUUUUAAUAAAUUCAACAAAUUCUACUGAUUCGAAAGUAUCUGUUUACAUUUCUCCAUUUUUAUGUUUAUAUAAUUUAAACAAAUAUAAACAAAAAUAUAAAAAUGUUAUAUUAAUUUUUUAUAAUGCAACAUUUUAUAAUCAAAUAGUUUUAAAUUUAGAACAAGAAAUAAAUAAUGUUGUUAAAAGUUAUUAUUUUAAUAUAAAUAAAAAAGAAAAGGAACAGAGAACAAACUUAACGUUUGCAUUGCCUUAUUCUAUUUAUACAAUAGUGUCAAAAUUGUAUGGAUCAUCUAUGUAUCCAUAUUAUAUCGAGGAAAGUAAAAGAGGUAGCAAACGUACCAGUAGUAGUGAAGGCACCGGUAAUAGCGAAGGCAUCAGCGAAGGCGAAAGUACCAGUUGUUAUAAUAAUAAUAAUAAUAAUAAUAAUAAUAAUAAUANNNNNNNNNNAUAAUAAUAAUAAUAAUAAUAAUAAUAAUAAUAAUAGUAAUAGUAAUAAUAAUAGUAAUAGUAAUAAUAAUAGUAAUAGUAAUAAUAAUCCUUAUUUUUCAAAUUCGUUUAAAUGUACUGAUCUUUUAACUCAAGAAACGUAUAAAAAUAAGGAAGGCAUUAAAAAUGAUAAUGUCCAUAUAAAAGAUACUUCCAUAUAUUCCGAUAGUAAUACUAAUAUAUCGAACAGUGUAAGUACUUUUUUUUUUUUAAGUAAUGAAUCAGAUAAUAGGAAAAAUGGAAUUGUAGAUCAUGUUUUAUCAAUAAGUGAGAACAACAUAUAUUUGUUAAAAAACGAUUUUGAAAUAAAUCCAGAAAUUGAUAUAAAUUAUAUUAAUAAAAAUACAAAUGGUCAAAAUAGUAUAUUAUGGUAUUAUAUAAAAAAAGAAAUUAUAAAUAUUUUAAACAAACAUAAUGAACUAUAUGUCAUGUUAAAAAAUAAAAAAUCAAUGAAUAUAUAUAUUGAUCAUUGGGAACAUGAAGAUUUUAUUCAUUAUAAUAAUUUUUAUUAUAUAUUAGUAAAUAAUGUUUUAAAUUACUAUAAGUUAAAUACAUUCCAAUUAAUUAUUUUUUUAAAAAAAUUAUUAACAAGUAAUUUUAUCAAUCCUAAUAUUUCAAAAAAAUAUAUUCAGGAAUAUUAUGAUCAAUUUUUUAAAUAUUAUAAUCAACACUUUAAUUAUUUUUCUCAAUUACAAACUGAAUA
rnacentral:lncRNA from 1 species